GGUUGUGUGGUGUAAUGGUUAGCACGCUGGAUUCUGAAAGGAACGAGUUCCUCAGUUCUUGAAACUUUCCAGCAAUCGCGGUUCGAUUCCGCGCACGACCU